CAAGUCGAACGAUGAACCCCUUCGGUGGGGAUUAGUGGCGAACGAGUGAGUAACACGUGGGCAAUCUGCCCUGCACUCUGGGACAAGCCCUGGAAACGGGGUCUAAUAGCGGAUACCACCCGGGGGCGCAUGCCCUUGGGUUGAAAGCUCCGGCGGUGCAGGAUGAGCCCGCGGCCUAUCAGCUUGUUGGUGGGGUGAUGGCCUACCAAGGCGACGACGGGUAGCCGGCCUGAGAGGGCGACCGGCCACACUGGGACUGAGACAGGGCCCAGACUCCUACGGGAGGCAGCAGUGGGGAAUAUUGCACAAUGGGCGAAAGCCUGAUGCAGCGACGCCGCGUGAGGGAUGACGGCCUUCGGGUUGUAAACCUCUUUCAGCAGGGAAGAAGCGAGAGUGACGGUACCUGCAGAAGAAGCGCCGGCUAACUACGUGCCAGCAGCCGCGGUAAUACGUAGGGCGCAAGCGUUGUCCGGAAUUAUUGGGCGUAAAAAGCUCGCAGGCGGCUUGUCACGUCCGGUGUGAAAGCCCGGGGCUUAACCCCGGGUCUGCAUUCGAUACGGGCAGGCUAGAGUGUGGUAGGGGAGAUCGGAAUUCCUGGUGUAGCGGUGAAAUGCGCAGAUAUCAGGAGGAACACCGGUGGCGAAGGCGGAUCUCUGGGCCAUUAGUGACGCUGAGGAGCGAAAGCGUGGGGAGCGAACAGGAUUAGAUACCCUGGUAGUCCACGCCGUAAACGCUGGGAACUAGGUGUUGGCGUCAUUCCACGUCGUCGGUGCCGCAGCUAACGCAUUAAGUUCCCCGCCUGGGGAGUACGGCCGCUAGGCUAAAACUCAAAGGAAUUGACGGGGGCCCGCACAAGCAGCGGAGCAUGUGGCUUAAUUCGACGCAACGCGAAGAACCUUACCAAGGCUUGACAUACACCGGAAAGCAUUAGAGAUAGUGCCCCCCUUGUGGUCGGUGUACAGGU
rnacentral:rRNA from 1 species